GGCCUAAUGGUCUAGUAGUAUGAUUCUCGCUUUGGGUAUAGUAGUGGGGGAUGGCUACCAUUGCGAGAGGUCCUGGGUUCAAUUCCCAGUUGGGCCC